AGUAGAGAAGAGCAGCUCUGACCAGAUCAUCUUCAUCAUAAAUCAUGUUCUCUGCAUCUCUUCUGAUGUUUCUGUUGGCAGCUGCCUCCUGUGUCCACUGUCACGUCGUUCUCACACAGGCUGAACAGUCGGUCCAGGGGACCCCUGGGGGAUCCCUCAAACUGACAUGUGCCUGCAGUGGAUUCUCUCUGAGUGGCACAUACAUGCACUGGAUCCGCCAGGCUCCUGGAAAGGGACUGGAGUGGAUUGGAUAUAUCUUCAGUGGUGGAAGCACAGCUUAUAAAGAUUCACUGAAAAGCAAGUUUAGCAUCACAAGAGACACUUCAAGCAACACAUUGUUUUUAAAAGGCCAGAAUCUGCAGACUGAAGACACAGCUGUAUAUUAUUGUGCCCGAGAUUCACAGUGAUACAAA